UAAUAGUAGUAGUAGUUGUUGUUGUAGUAAUAGUGGUGGUAGUAGUAUUUGUUGUUGUUAUUGUUGUUGUAGUAAUAGUAGUAGUAGUAGUAGUAGUUGUUGUUGUUGUAAUAGUGGUAGUAGUAGUAGUAGUAGUAGUUGUUUUAGUAGUAGUAGUUGUUGUUGUUGUAAUAGUAGUAGUAGUUGUUGUUGUUGUUGUUGUAAUAGUAGUAGUAGUAGUAGUAGUUGUUGUUGUGUUGUAGGUUGUAUAGUAGUAGUAGUAGUAGUUGUUGUUGUUGUUGUAAUAGUGGUAGUAGUAGUAGUAGUAGAAGUAGUUGUUGUUGUUGUAUAUAGUAGUAGUAGUUGUUGUUGUUGUUGUUGUAAUAGUGGUAGUAGUAGUAGUAGUUGUGUUGGUUGUUGUUAGUAUGGUAGUAGUAGUAGUAGUAGUUGUUGUUGUUGUAAUAGUAAAUAUAGUAGUAGUUGUUGUUGUUGUAAUAGUAGUAAGUAGUAGUUGUUGUUGUUGUAAUAGUGGUAAGUAGUAGUAAUAUCAGUAAUAUUAGUUUUAAAAUCAGUUUUUGUAAUUUUUAAAAGGAAAUACAAAGAAAAAAGUGUUUUUCUUUGUCAGAACUUUCUGUCCCUUGAGGACAUUUGGUCUCCAUAUAAAAUCACGCUUCAGUGACCUUUAUGGCGCCUGGAGCUGGAAAACUCACCAGGAUAUAAAUACAUCUUCCUUUUCUUUCUUUCUUUCUUUUUCAGGCAUGAAAAUGAAAACGAAAACGUAUCUAUUACAAAAAAUUC
ensembl:lncRNA